AGGUCACCAUAGAAACAUAAGCAACAGAGAUCGAAGGAACAAUAGAUUGGGAGAAAAGUAACAAGGAAAGUUAAGGGACAAAGGAGGAUAUAGUCUUCAAGGUAGAUUAAGAACAGAAAGGUUUCUAAAUGCCAGACUUUUCCUUGAGGCAUUAUACUGAUCCAUUGAAGACUAAGCAGGUAUCUCAUCAUCCUCAGAAAGCAAAUUCAGCAAGUAAGUAGAUGCUAGUGAUGCAUCUGUAACAACAAAGAGAGAUGUGGUAGAGGGGGAAGGAGCACUGAAUUCAUGAAAACAAGUUCCUUGGAGGA
rnacentral:lncRNA from 1 species